rnacentral:tRNA from 1 species
GGUGGAGUGGUGUAGAGGUUAGCACACCCGACCGGACAUUCGGAGGCCCAGAGUUCAAAUCCUGGCUCCGCCG